AUAUGCUUAAUCGGCAGGUAAAGCUACUUACGUACUCCAUCCGAUACAUAAUAAGUAUCGUGGUUUUAGUUCAAAUUGGAACCAAUUGAAACUAAAGCAAUGACACUUAUUAUGGAUCGGUGGGAGUGCUAUUUAUGGGGCCAUUAGGACUCUGUAAGUUCAUACUUUCCUUCAUGGAAAUUCUCCGCUUUAAGUGGUAAUGUAACUCCUUAACUAGGAUAUUUUUACGCAUUUUGCAUCCAUUCAAUUGGAAUUGUUUUAACCCAAAUAAUAUUUCAAAUGUGAUGUUCAGGUGUUUCAUCAGUAAGCACCUAGCAGAAAUAUUUGUUUCAGAUUUUUGUCUACACAUGAUGAAAAAGACCAGGUUCAGUCUUACCCAUCAACGUGUCAUUGAUAUGCAAAAAUGUGUGCAUAGCACAGACUAAUAUAUUGCUUUUGUUUAUAAUGCAUUUACCCCUCUGCAUAUCAUGUUUUUAAAAUAGCUAUUUGCAACUGACUUAUUUAGAUUUGGAAAUGAAGCUUGUCUUGAAGUAAUCAGCAAUUUCUUUGCAUACUGUUAAAUAUUGGUAGCUGUAGUGUCACUGAUUUAUGGAGAAUGGAGACAUCGGAAAUUGCUGGCUACAAUUGAAUAUGUAGUUGCUUAAAGAUUUCUUAUAGCCCUUCCGAAUUUCAGUUUCUUCUCACAUACAAGAGCAGACCAAUAGAAACUAUCUGUUUGAGCACUGUUCUCUUUUGUAUGAAUAAUUGUUUGAUCUAUUUUGCUAGAGUGAACUGUAUGGUAUCUCACUAUUGUAACUCCCUUUCUUCUCCCUGCUAUUGUACACAGUGAUUUCGGUUGAGGAAUGGUUACGAUUUGUUGAUAGUGCUAUAUUUAAAAAACAAAAAAGGUUAGAGAUAUAGAAGAAUCAUGUAGUCUUUUAUUCGUAAUUAAUUAUAGUAUAUUUUGAAUGCUAAAGUUUAUUUGAAUGAUCACUAUGGCAUCUUAUAUUUUCCUGCCAACAAAGGAGAUAUUAUGUAUACUUGUGAGUAGGAGCCAGAAAAUACCAAUGUCAGCAAUUCUCAAGAAGUAAGUUCACUACUAUACUGGAGUAUGACUUUUCCCUUUGGUAUACCACUAUACCAGUGGUAUCAUGUGAGCUUCAUUUUCUCCACAAAAAUACUACUGUUGUACUAAAUUACUACAUGUUUGAAUUGAUGUAAUGUACAUGGACGUAAGAGUUUAAUUGUAUCAAAUUUUCACUGGCGGGUAAAUACCAUAUAAGCACGGUGCUCUGCAAGAAAAUCCUACUCCAUACGCUGUCAAGACUGGACCAAUCAAGAAGCAUCCUCAUAAUAUUGACCAACCAGAGUGUACGUACUCCAGAACUUAUAUUUGAAAUAUUGAAGAACAUAGGGCUAUGUUGUAACAGAUUACAGAUGUUCACUUCUGCUGAGGCGAAGGCUUUUGUCGACAUCCCAAUGUGGAGCAACGUGGAGGCUGAGUGGGCCGGCAAAGUGAAGGAAGAUCAUUGUCGAGGUUGACUGGCAGAAGUGCCCCGUUAACUACGAGCUGCUCAAGACUCGAGAGUGGCCUCACGGUGUUGCCAGGGUGAUACUACAUAAUUACGUUUUUUUGCUUUACAUUGUCGCUGAAGUAGUGAAAUUUAUGUUAACACCGCUGAUGACUGCUUAACGAUGCUAAAACAAUGUGGUCUGUUCUGGUUUGAUGCUUUGAAGGAAAAUGGAAACUCCUGUUGUUUCAGUUCA